GGAUGACGAUGGAGGGAGGGUCACUAAUGGGAGAACCUUAUGACCAACUUUGCCCAAGAAAAGCCUGAACUAGCCUGUACAACACUGUGCCCCCUCUGAGAGUUGGGGAGCACACCUUAAAGGUAAGGGCCCUUCCCUUUGGACUCCAUGCCUGACACAAGAGUCUCAGGCAACUCGAUGCAACUUGGAUGACGGGACUAACUGAAUCACUCAUAUCCUCGCUCAAGGCGUUUGAAUGUGAAACAGACACAAGAAAAGUGUAUUUAUAGGGAGCAGCAGGAGCAAUAGGACAGUGAAAGAGAGGAACUGAUCCACAACAUGAAGGAACCGGAGGGGAACAAUGGAAGGCUAUGAUGUCCCCAAGGCUGCUGGU
rnacentral:lncRNA from 1 species